ACUCAAAGGAAUUGACGGGGACCCGCACAAGCGGUGGAGCGUGUGGUUUAAUUCGAUGCUAAGCGAAGGACCUUACCAAGGUUUGACAUGCUAAUGGUAGUGAAUUGAAAGAGGAACGACCACACUAUGUGUGGAGUUAGCACAGGUGGUGCACGGCCGUCGUCAGCUCGUGUCGUGAGGUGUUGGGUUAAGUCCCGCAACGAGCGCAACCCCUGCUCUUAGUUACCAGCGGUAAGGCCGGGUACUCUAGGAGGACCGCCGCCGACGAGGCGGAGGAAGGGGGGGAUGAAGUCAGGUAUCGUGCCCCUUAUAUCUUGGGCGACACACGCGCUACAAUGGGUUGGACAGAAGGGACCAAGACAGCGAUGUGGAGGAAAUCCUCAAACCAACCCCCAGUUCAGAUUGCAGGCUGCAACCCGCCUGCAUGAAGCCGGAAUCGCUAGUAAUCGCAGAUCAGCCAAGCUGCGGUGAAUACGUUCCCGGGUCUUGUACACACCGCCCGU
rnacentral:rRNA from 1 species